rnacentral:rRNA from 1 species
AUUUUCCGGUUGAUCCUGCCGGACCCUACUGCUAUCGGGGUGGGACUAAGACAUGCGUGUCGAACGACCCCUAGCCAUGAAGGGGACGUGGCAUACGGCUCAGUAACACGUGGCUAACCUACCCUCGAGACAGGGACAACCCCGGGAAACUGGGGCCAAUCCCCGAUAGAUGAGAACACCUGGAACGGGUUCUCGUCCAAAAGGCGCCUAGAUCACGCUUCUAGACGCUGCUCAAGGAUGGGGCCGCGGCCGAUCAGGCUGUUGGUGAGGCAAUGGCUCACCAAACCUUUAACCGGUACGGGCCGUGGGAGCGGGAGCCCGGAGAUGGGAACUGAGACAAGGUCCCAGGCCCUACGGGGCGCAGCAGUCGCGAAAACUUGUCAAUGCACGAAAGUGUGAACGGGCUACCCCGAGUGCCGUCCGCUGAGGAUGGCUUUUCUCUGCUGUAAGGAAGCGGAGGAAUAAGGCGAGGGCAAGUCUGGUGUCAGCCGCCGCGGUAAUACCAGCUCGCCGAGUGGUAGGGAUGAUUAUUGGGCUUAAAGCGUCCGUAGCCGGCCUCUCAAGUCUCUCGUUAAAUCCAGCGAUUCAAUCGUUGGACUGCGGGAGAUACUGUUAGGCUAGGAGGCGGGAGAAGCCGACGGUAUUUUCGGGGUAGGGGUAAAAUCCUAUAAUCCCGGGAAGACCACCAGUGGCGUAGGCGGUCGGCUAGCACGCGCUCGACGGUGAGGGACGAAAGCUGGGGGAGCGAACCGGAUUAGAUACCCGGGUAGUCCCAGCUGUAAACGAUGCUGGCUAGGUGUUGGAGCGGCUACGAGCCGCUCCAGUGCCGCAGGGAAGCCAUUAAGCCAGCCGCCUGGGGAGUACGGCCGCAAGGCUGAAACUUAAAGGAAUUGGCGGGGGAGCACCACAAGGGGUGAAGCUUGCGGUUUAAUUGGAUUCAACGCCGGAAAU